rnacentral:misc_RNA from 1 species
GAUGAAGAACGCAGCGAAAUGCGAUAAGUAAUGUGGAUUGCAGAAUUCAGUGAAUCAUCGAAUCUUUGAACGCACCUUGUGCUCCUUGGUAUUCCAAGGAGCAUGCCUGUUUGAGUAUCAUUAAAUUAUCAACUGUGCCAAUUUGGUUACAGAUUGGAUGUGGGAGAUUCUUUUUGCAGGCCUUUGACUUCUCUUUGAGAAAAAAAAUAAAAGGUCGGCUCUCCUGAAAUGUAUUAGCAGUGCCUUUGUUGGUUCAUUAGGUGUGAUAAAUUGUCUACAUCUUCGCAUGAUACCUUCAUUUGUAAAGGUCAUAUUGCUUCUAAAUUGUCUUUGAUUGGACGCAAAACAUAUAUAAUGUUUGACAAACUUGAUCUCAAAUCAGGCAGGACUACCCGCUGAACUUAAGCAUAUCAAUAAGCGGAGGA